AUUGAACGCUGGCGGCAGGCUUAACACAUGCAAGUCGAGCGGAGUGAUGGUGCUUGCACUAUCACUUAGCGGCGGACGGGUGAGUAAUGCUUAGGAAUCUGCCUAUUAGUGGGGGACAACAUCUCGAAAGGGAUGCUAAUACCGCAUACGUCCUACGGGAGAAAGCAGGGGAUCACUUGUGACCUUGCGCUAAUAGAUGAGCCUAAGUCGGAUUAGCUGGUUGGUGGGGUAAAGGCCUACCAAGGCGACGAUCUGUAGCGGGUCUGAGAGGAUGAUCCGCCCCACUGGGAGUGAGACACGGCCCAGACUCCUACGGGAGGCAGCAGUGGGGAAUAUUGGACAAUGGGGGGAACCCCGAUCCAGCCAUGCCGCGUGUGUGAAGAAGGCCUUAUGGUUGUAAAGCACUUUAAGCGAGGAGGAGGCUUACCUAGUUAAUACCUGGGAUAAGUGGACGUUACUCGCAGAAUAAGCACCGGCUAACUCUGUGCCAGCCGCCGCAGUAA
rnacentral:rRNA from 1 species